GACGAACGCUGGCGGCGUGCUUAACACAUGCAAGUCGAACGGAAAGGCCCUGCGUUUGUGGGGCGCUCGAGUGGCGAACGGGUGAGUAACACGUGAGUAACCUGCCCUUGUCUUUGUGAUAACUUCAGGAAACAGGGGCUAAUACCGGAUAGGAGCUCCUGCUGCAUGGUGGGGGUUGGAAAGUUUCGGCGGUUGGGGAUGGACUCGCAGCUUAUCAGCUUGUUGGUGGGGUAGUGGCUUACCAAGGCUUUGACGGGUAGCCGGCCUGAGAGGGUGACCGGCCACAUUGGGACUGAGAGACGGCCCAGACUCCUACGGGAGGCAGCAGUGGGGAAUAUUGCACAAUGGGCGGAAGCCUGAUGCAGCAACGCCGCGUGCGGAAUGACGGCCUUCGGGUUGUAAACCGCUUUCGCCUGUGACGAAGCGUGCGUGACGGUAAUGGGUAAAGAAGCAACGGCUAACUACGUG
rnacentral:rRNA from 1 species